rnacentral:rRNA from 1 species
CUUGGCGGCCUUAGCGCGGUGGUCCCACCUGACCCCAUGCCGAACUCAGAAGUGAAACGCCGUAGCGCCGAUGGUAGUGUGGGGUCUCCCCAUGUGAGAGUAGGGAACUGCCAGGC